GUAGUGAAGUCAUUGAUGCCAUGCUUCCAGGAAAAGCCUCUAAGCUUCAGAUAGUCAGGAAUCGUACCCCAAACCGACACAGGUGGUCGGGUAGAGAAUACCAAGGCGCUUGAGAGAACUCGGGUGAAGGAACUAGGCAAAAUGGUACCGUAACUUCGGGAGAAGGUACGCUCUUGAUGGUGAAGUCCCUCGCGGAUGGAGCUGACGAGAGUCGCAGAUACCAGGUGGCUGCAACUGUUUAUUAAAAACACAGCACUGUGCAAAAUCGCAAGAUGACGUAUACGGUGUGACGCCUGCCCGGUGCCGGAA
rnacentral:rRNA from 1 species